UAGGGAAUCUUCCGCAAUGGGCGAAAGCCUGACGGAGCAACGCCGCGUGAGUGAUGAAGGUCUUCGGAUCGUAAAACUCUGUUAUUAGGGAAGAACAAAUGUGUAAGUAACUAUGCACGUCUUGACGGUACCUAAUCAGAAAGCCACGGCUAACUACGUGCCAGCAGCCGCGGUAAUACGUAGGUGGCAAGCGUUAUCCGGAAUUCUUGGGCGUAAAGCGCGCGUAGGCGGUUUUUUAAGUCUGAUGUGAAAGCCCACGGCUCAACCGUGGGGGGUCAUUGGAAACUGGAAAACUUGAGUGCAGAAGAGGAAAGUGGAAUUCCAUGUGUAGCGGUGAAAUGCGCAGAGAUAUGGAGGAACACCAGUGGCGAAGGCAACUUUCUGGUCUGUAACUGACGCUGAUGUGCGAAAGCGUGGGGAUCAAACAGG
rnacentral:rRNA from 1 species